GCUGGCGGCGUGCCUAACACAUGCAAGUCGAACGAGAAACUCCGGGCUUGCUCGGAGGAGUAAAGUGGCGCACGGGUGAGUAGCGCGUGGGUAACCUGCCCUUGAAUCUGGGAUAACUUUGCGAAAGCAUUGCUAAUACCGGAUAUUGUUCCUGAAACCGUGGUUUUAGGAAUAAAAGGCGACCUCUUCGUGAAAGUUGCCGUUCGAGGAGGGGCUCGCGUACCAUUAGCUUGUUGGUGGGGUAAUGGCCUACCAAGGCUACGAUGGUUAGCUGGUCUGAGAGGAUGAUCAGCCACACUGGAACUGAAACACGGUCCAGACUCCUACGGGAGGCAGCAGUGAGGAAUUUUGCGCAAUGGGGGAAACCCUGACGCAGCAACGCCGCGUGAGUGAAGAAGGCUUUCGAGUCGUAAAGCUCUGUCAAGUGGGAAAAAAGCCUUUUGAUUAAUAGUCAACAGGUUUGAUGGUACUACUAGAGGAAGCACCG
rnacentral:rRNA from 1 species